GAUGAACGCUGGCGGCGUGCCUAAUACAUGCCAGUCGAGCGAACAGAUGAGGAGCUUGCUCCUCUGACGUUAGCGGCGGACGGGUGAGUAACACGUGGAUAACCUACCUAUAAGACUGGGAUAACUACGGGAAACCGGAGCUAAUACCGGAUAAUAUAUUGAACCGCAUGGUUCAAUAGUGAAAGACGGUUUUGCUGUCACUUAUAGAUGGAUCCGCGCCGCAUUAGCUAGUUGGUAAGGUAACGGCUUACCAAGGCAACGAUGCGUAGCCGACCUGAGAGGGUGAUCGGCCACACUGGAACUGAGACACGGUCCAGACUCCUACGGGAGGCAGCAGUAGGGAAUCUUCCGCAAUGGGCGAAAGCCUGACGGAGCAACGCCGCGUGAGUGAUGAAGGUCUUCGGAUCGUAAAACUCUGUUAUUAGGGAAGAACAAAUGUGUAAGUAACUAUGCACGUCUUGACGGUACCUAAUCAGAAAGCCACGGCUAACUACG
rnacentral:rRNA from 1 species